rnacentral:rRNA from 1 species
ACGCUCGACACCUACGGGAGGCAGCAGUGGGGAAUAUUGGGCAAUGGGCGCAAGCCUGACCCAGCAAUGCCGCGUGAAGGAAGAAGGCUUUCGGGUUGUAAACUUCUUUUGUCAGGGAAGAGUAGAAGACGGUACCUGACGAAUAAGCCACGGCUAACUACGUGCCAGCAGCCACGGUAAUCUGAGCGGGCUGGCAAGGC